AACUUAAUUAGAAUUUAUAACGGAUUAAUCACCAAAAAAAAAGAAUUUUUUUCUCCUUAUUUUUUAACUAAAAAAUAAAUUUUAUGUGCUUGUUUUUAUUUACCUAUAUACUUACUUACAUCUACAUACAUCUACAUAAAUCUAUGAAUUUAAAUUAAUUAAUUAAGAAAAUAAAAUAAAACAAAAAGGAAUCAAAGAAAUUUGAGAAAAAAAAAACGACGACAAUAUACUGUAAAGAAUACUGUAAAACCGAAAGGAAGUGUUAAUCCGCCAGAUAAAUCAAUUAAGGCUUUAAAUUUAAAAUUAAAUUAUUAAAAGAAAAUUUAAGAUAUUAAAAAAAUAAUUAAAAUAUCAUUAUACAACGAUUUUGAAAGAAAAAAUUCGCCGAAAAGAAAAUACCAAAACAAGAGAAAAAUAUAAAUUUAAAUUAUUUUUAAAGAAAUUAAAUAAUUUUUUUUUAAACUAAAAUCACAAAUCCUAUUAUCAUAAUAUUAAUAUUUAUAAUUAAUUUAUUAAAGAUUGAACAAAAAAGAAAAUUCAUAUAUAGAUUAUCAUUAAUUUUAUAAAAUCAUUAACCAAAAAUCAAAUUUAAUUUUAAAAUUCUAAUCAAGCAAAUAAUCACUAACUCUCUAAAUAGAAAACUCUCAUAUAUAAUAAUUAUAAUUUUAUAGAAAAAAUACAUAAAAUAAAAUUAAUAAAAAAAAACAUAAUUAUAAUUUAUAAAAUUUCUUUUAUCUCAAAUUGUGAUAUUUUAAAACCAAUAAAAGAUAUUUUACAAGUGAAAUUAUUAAAAAAGAAAAAAAUUUAA